ensembl:lncRNA
GUAAUUUGGUUGAAUAUUGCCAAAUUCCCCUUCAGAGGAGCUGCGUGAGUCUGUGUUCCCACCGGCGGUGUAUGAGAAGGCCUAUUGUCCCACAGCCUCACCAACAAACUUCUGGAUGUUUGCCAGCAUAACAGAUGAAAAUGGUAUUUUUAUUCCAUUCUAAUUUGCAUUGCUUUUUCUCAUUUCACUAGUUUUAAAGGGAGAAGACACGGAGAAGUCUGAAUACAAAUUUGGACGUUUGGUGUUACGUGAAUGUUUGCCCCUCUAAGCCCAAAGCUCCGUAAAGGUUUUGAUUUAUACCCCUACGCCAUUUCCAAAAGGAUUCAAGACUGCAACCCAUUAAGGCUGGAUGCGUUUGCUGAGUGAAUACAGGCACGAGUACCUGAAUGAACAGAUGAAUGGGUGAUUUCCAGGGCUUUUCCGUCACAUUCUGAUCUCCUCCUUAGAAUAAGUCCCAACAUUACAAAAGGGGAUGGCUAGUGCGGAGGAAGCUCUUAUGUCCCUUGAAAGAGGCUCUCCCAAGUCGCGAUAAUGCAAACUCGCAUUGCAUUGGCAUUUUGGACACUUACUGGUGAUUCAUAUUCAGCUUGAUGUAACUCAAACCUUCCAAGUCUUUUCCCCAUGAAUCACGUUUGUGUAGUUGGCUUUUUUCUUAACCCGCUGGAUGUUAUUCUUUUAGAUAAAAGCUAGGUGAUAGAUAGAUAGAUGAUAGAUAGAUAGACAGAUAGAUGAUAGAUAGAUAGAUUUCGCUUUAAACCAUCAAUGCAGAAUAUUAAAUUGGUUUAAAAUUUAUUUCUGUUUUCCAGUAUAGUGGCCAUUCCCUCCCCCCAGUUCUGUGUCCCCUAAGGUUUAAGUUGUUGAUAAAGCCUAGGAUGACAGAAUAGCUUUGUGACAGGACAUGCGUCACCUCUGGGAAUGCUGGCCUCUGUUAUUUCUUGUAGACAUGUUACACCAAUCUUCUGUCACUUAGAUUGAAUUUCUCUUUCUCUCUUUCUCACAUCACCUUUCAGGAGAAGGAUAGUGUGAAAACUUUGUAAGAUGCCCAUCUGAAAUCCAAGUAUGUUCUCUCCACACCGAUCCUUGGAUCUAUCAACAUGACCCUGUGCCAUUGAGCCAGGGAGUUGGAAACACAUGCUCCGUUGUUGUAUAACACGGCACAUCACCAAUAGGGAAACAAGGUGACACAAGCACUCACAGUGAGUAUUUAUGAGUACUCACACAAGUACCUGCACGAGUACUCACAAAUGAGUACUCACACAAGGACCUGAAGCAUCCAGGUCGGGGAGAUGGUCAGCGAUAGUACCUGGACUCAAAGCUUGGGCUCCUGACUCCAUGUACGAGGGACUUUACAAAAUGUCCUGUCACUGCAAGAGAGAUCAAGCUGACGCCUGGUGACUGUUCCUUGCUUUUCCUCUAUCGUUUGAUUUUUUUAAGUUAAUUUAUUUAUUUUGAGAGAGAGAGAGAGAGUGCACGCACAAGUGGAGGAGGGUCAGAGAGAGAGAGAGAGAGAGAGAGAGAGAGAGAGAGAAUCCCAAGCAGGCUCCACGCUGUUAGCAUAGCGCAGAGCCCGAUGGGGGCCUUGAACCCACGAACCCGUGAGAUCAUGACCUGAGCCUAGAUCAAGAGUUGGACGCUUAAUUGACUGAGCCACCCAUGCACCUCUUUUGAUCAAUUAUUUAUUAAUUUUUUUUAAGUUUAUUUAUUUAUUUUGAGAGAGAGAGAGAGGUGCAUGCAUGCAUGAGUUGGGGAGGGACAGAGAGAAGGAGAGACAGAAUCCCAAGCAGGCUCUGUGUCAUCAGCCCAGAGCCCCACCAUGGGGCUUGGACUCACAAACCGUGAGAUCAUGACCUGAGCUGAGAUCAAGAAUCAGACGCUUAACCAACUGUACUACCCAGGUGCCCCUCAAUCUUUUAAAUAAAUCUACCCUGGGGUAUUAUUGGGGCUUCGUU